rnacentral:rRNA from 1 species
GACGAACGCUGGCGGCGUGCUUAACACAUGCAAGUCGAACGGUAAGGCCCCUUCGGGGGUACACGAGUGGCGAACGGGUGAGUAACACGUGGGUGAUCUGCCCUGCACUUCGGGAUAAGCCUGGGAAACUGGGUCUAAUACCGGAUAGGACCACUGCCUGCAUGGGUGGUGGUGGAAAGCUUUUGCGGUGCGGGAUGGGCCCGCGGCCUAUCAGCUUGUUGGUGGGGUGAUGGCCUACCAAGGCGACGACGGGUAGCCGGCCUGAGAGGGUGACCGGCCACACUGGGACUGAGAUACGGCCCAGACUCCUACGGGAGGCAGCAGUGGGGAAUAUUGCACAAUGGGCGCAAGCCUGAUGCAGCGACGCCGCGUGAGGGAUGACGGCCUUCGGGUUGUAAACCUCUUUCAGCACCGACGAAGCGCAAGUGACGGUAGGUGCAGAAGAAGGACCGGCCAACUACGUGCCAGCCGCCGCAGUAA